rnacentral:snoRNA from 1 species
UCCCUCCAGAUUCCUUAGCCCAAAAACCUAAAUAGUGGUUUGAGUGGGUUUCACAAAAAGGAGAAGUGACAUUGAAAUGAACUUGAACUCCUUGAUGACAAACAAGUUCACCUCAAGAAAAG